rnacentral:piRNA from 1 species
UGAUGGAGACUUAACGAUAACAAUG